UUAGUCCUACGGGGGGCAGCAGUGGGGGAUAUUGCACAAUGGGGGCAACCCUGAUGCAGCGACGCCGCGUGAGCGAUGGAGUAUUUCGGUAUGUAAAGCUCUAUCAGCAGGGAAGAAAAUGACGGUACCUGACUAAGAAGCCCUGGCUAACUACGUGCCAGCAGCCGCGGUAAUACGUAGGGGGCAAGCGUUAUCCGGAUUUACUGGGUGUAAAGGGAGCGUAGACGGCGGUGCAAGCCAGAUGUGAAAGCCCGGGGCUCAACCCCGGGACUGCAUUUGGAACUGUGCUGCUAUAGUGUCGGAGA
rnacentral:rRNA from 1 species